UAGGGAAUCUUCCACAAUGGACGCAAGUCUGAUGGAGCAACGCCGCGUGAGUGAAGAAGGUCUUCGGAUCGUAAAACUCUGUUGUUAGAGAAGAACACGAGUGAGAGUAACUGUUCAUUCGAUGACGGUAUCUAACCAGCAAGUCACGGCUAACUACGUGCCA
rnacentral:rRNA from 1 species